rnacentral:rRNA from 1 species
UACGGGGGGGGCAAGCGUUGUUCGGAAUUACUGGGCGUAAAGGGCUCGUAGGCGGCCAACUAAGUCAGACGUGAAAUCCCUCGGCUUAACCGGGGAACUGCGUCUGAUACUGGAUGGCUUGAGGUUGGGAGAGGGAUGCGGAAUUCCAGGUGUAGCGGUGAAAUGCGUAGAUAUCUGGAGGAACACCGGUGGCGAAGGCGGCAUCCUAGACCAACACUGACGCUGAGUGAGCGAAAGCCAGGGGAGCAAACGGG